AUGUACCAAGCGUAUGCUCCGGUUGCUCCGCGCCGUCCUCAUCCCACCUGACGACCGCUCGCUACGUUCUGUUAGCC
rnacentral:sRNA from 1 species